GCUGGGUGUGGUGGUGCAUGCCUGUAAUCCCAGCUACUCAGGAGGCUGAGGCAGGAGAAUCACUUGAACCCAGGAGGUGGAAGUUGCAGUGAGCUGAGAUCACACCACUGCACUCCAGCCUGGGUGACAGAGCGAGACUCUGUCUCAG
rnacentral:sRNA from 1 species